GUGCAAAUCGGCCUGAAGCCAUUUAUGUAUAUGUGAAUAUCCAUACUCGGUACAUAUGCCUCCCCGGCAUAGACAGGUAAGA
rnacentral:sRNA from 10 species